UACCCCCAGCAAUGGGCAAAGAGACACCUUGUUGUGGUGCUCUUAUAUCAGUCAGAGGCAGAGCAGAUGGCCGUCCUUUGUUCAUCCUCGCUGGAUGCCUGGCUUGGUAGCCAAAGCUAUCUUAUACCUAGGACUCAUAA